CUUCAUCUUGUUCCUUAGGUAUCAUUAACCAGUCAAAAAGAGGUAACUCUGCAUCAGUGGAGAGCACAGCACUCUGACUUCUCCAACUCCAAGGUGCCUGUGCAUUCUCGGGAUCUAAAUGAGUUGCAGACUCUGAUUCAGAGGCUCUGGGGUGGCGCCCAAGAGGCUGCACUGGAGGAGCUCCCAGAAGAUUCCCCUUCUGCUGACUCAGGACCACUCUUUGAAAAGAACUCUGAACAAUACAGUGUAACUUAGUUAGUCAAAGUUUGGAACUGAUAAAGACUCAUGACCAUGCUGAAGAUGCCUGGAUGAGGAGGCUCCAGUGUCACAGACACUAAGUGCCACCUCUGCUCUCUGCGACAGACCUCUGAAGACAGUGAUAACAUGCAGGGAUUUCUUUCAUCAGAGCUAAGUUCACUCAUGCGAGGCUCAUCAUUUUAGGAAACUGAAUCGCAUCAGUAUAACAAAACCCAAGCCAUUUGCUCUGUAAAUGGAGAGAAAGCAAAUGUAGAAUUUCAAGGACUCCCUUAAGGACAACGGUCAUCACCAGUGAGGCUGAAGCUAAAAUGAAACUGCGUGGAAAGGCAGGAAAUCUGAUUCCACUGGCGCUUCAUGAGUGGCCUCCUUCAGUCCCUCCCUUCUUCGUAGUCCUAGUUAUUGGAGGGCACAGGAAACUCGGAGACAUGCUGUCUGUCCAGUCGGCUUCACUACUUGAAUUCACAGUGCCUUGGCAGAGAGAGCUUUGUGUGUCUCCUCCUUCAUCCACCCACAGACCAGCUGUGAAGAGAGCACUGUAAGGAUCACAGGGUGUGCACACCUUGUCCAUUCAGGUCUGUGCCAGGACAUGCAAUUUAUUGGUGGUUAUAUACUAGGAGGAUCAUCUGACACCCCUCAGCCUGAAGUCUGGUGUUCUGGGCUCUUGAAUGCAUUAAUCUUAAUCAGACCUCAGAUAGCUGAAUAGGAAGGAGAACAUUGAAUUGCUUUGAAUAAUUAAGAGUGCAUUCGAGUUGGAAGAGCUUUAAAUGAGGAAAAUGUAUUUCAGAAACUUAACUCCUUGCUAAAUACUCUGAACUUGAGGUGAUCACAGUCUAUCACUUAUUCUUAUUUAUCUGAUAGGUCUGUAGGAAUAGAAUAAAACUGAAACACACUUACUUGAACAAUCAAUAGGAAAACUAUAUGGACAGUAUGUGCAUUAAAAGUUGAUAUAGGGGGCGGCUGGGGUUGUGGCUCAGCGG
rnacentral:lncRNA from 1 species